rnacentral:lncRNA from 7 species
AUUCUCUUGCAGCUGCACCACUGGGGUUGUCCUGUUGGUCUGCCCACAAGGAACGUGGGAGCCCAGCAAUGCAGUGCAGCACACAGCCGCAGCCCAGAAGGAAGGGGAGGCUGCUGGCACUGCGAGCUGAGCAUCUUAUCUCCAAGGUAACAACACAACUCUGAGCUGCAGAUUUCUAUAUUGGGAAGCCUCAGGCCCUCGCUGUCAAGAAAGCAAAUGGGGGAAGCAGCUGUCCCUUCUGGGAGGGGCUGCACACACUGAGACGGUGCUGUGCUCAUUUGUAUUCAUACCUCUGCCUCCUGCAUGGACAGAUUUUAACCCAUUUUAACCCAACUAUUUGUGUUUUGUAACUCCAACCCAAAGCAACGCGUGUUGGUGCAAGGGGAGAGAUGGAGCACAGGUGACAAACACAGCCUGAGUGACCCAAUGCUUCAUUUCAGCCCGGAUCCAAGUCUGCUUCCACUUGGCCUUGGAACCUUUCAAUCACAGUUCUAAUGAGAACAGCCUGCUGAAAAAUGAAAUGGGAAAGAUAGCUCCAUUAGCUCCAUUCUUACAAUCAGGGCUUGGGAAAGUGGAGGGUUUCUGUGCUGAUGCUUUAUCUAAAGCUUAUCAGCAGGUUUAAGGUCAGGAUGCAAAACUAGGAAGUCUCCAUUACUGUAACAGAUUCAAAGGGAACUCCGUAGUGUGUAAGUGCAUCAAAUCCAUGCUAUAUUCAUCAAGGAUUAGGUAUGGGGAAUGGGAAAGAGCAAGGUCAAAAGUCCUUGAACCAUAACUGCAUUCAGAUGGCACACCCAUCUUCCAAAGAAACUCAACCUAUGGAAGCUGCAGCUGCUGCUCAGGCUUCUUGCUUAACUAAGAUGUUUACCUUCGUGGCAAUAAUGGCAAAAGCACCUUAGUGGGAAAUGGCUGCAAGGCUAUGGGGCUGCAGAGGAGCCUUCUGCUGUCACUCUGGGCUGCUCUUUAGGAAGAACUGACUGCUGUGAUGGUUUAUCCCCCAACUGCUUCAGAACUUGACCUCCUCCCAAACCACCUCUGGGGUUUGGUUCUGUCCAUGAGCCCAGGCAGGUUGAGGUAAGUCCCAGCAUCUCAAAUCCAAUCACAACUACCUGCUGCUUUCUGGGUUUCACUGCAUGGAAGCAAAGGCUUAAGUGCAGUCAGCUGGAGGUGAUAGCAGGACAGCCCCUGCAGAGCACAGCAGCACUUCAAUGCAGAUAAGGCUGACGUGGUGCUCCCUCAGCUCUGCUGCCCAGACACAGGUUAAGGCUCUGCUCUGAGCCACCUGUAGAGACAGAACGCUGCCAGACAGCAACACUGCAAAUGACUGUUGGAGGAAAAAACUAAUUAAGGAAACACACACACAAAUGCGAGGUGAAUUAAGUGACAGGCAUAUUGCAAUUAAGCCUACACUUGGAGGAUUAGCUCCAAGUCGCAUCAGGUCACCAUAGGAAAUAGCUGAAAACAAAAGGCAAACAAAAUGCUCCCACCUAGCUCUGUGCUCCAGCACCAGCAAAGCAGUUUUCACCAGGGCUUUGUGACCCAGAAGGGGUCAAUGGGAUCUAUUUAUUAGGCAGAGACCUGCAGCAUGCUGCAUUUUAGCAGCCAUAGUGAGGAGCCCAUCUGAAAGAGCCCUGGAAGCUGAAAUGUCUCAAGGCAUAACUGUUUCAAGGCUGCUUGGAGGACAUCAUCUGCUGUUUAUCAGCUCUGUAAGGUGUUCCCAAGAUGAAAAACAACUGUAAGAGGUGUCUCAUUUUCCCUUUCUCUUGGCUCUUUUUGCCCUUUAUCUAUUUCUCCUGCCAGGCAGCCCCUACACACCCUGACCUCAGAUGUGCCAAGACAACACAGUGUGGCUGCACUCAGCUCGCCUUGCCAAGCUAUUUUUAAUCUCGUUCAGCUCCCUGACCCAGUUCACAGCACAGCCAUACAAAGAGGUGUAGCAGCACAAUGGGAAGGAUAGCAGAAAGGCAGGGAUAAGAGGCAGGGCUAACGCUGCCAGAAAUGCUAUAUAGGCGUGGUGCCUAUACUGAAAUAAGAAGUAGACAGAGCUCCCAGCUCUGCUUUUCAGUCAGCAU